UACGUAGGGGGCUAGCGUUGUCCGGAUUUAUUGGGCGUAAAGAGCGUGUAGGCGGUCCGGUAAGUCCGCUGUGAAAGUCGGGGGCUCAACCCUCGAAUGCCGGUGGAUACUGUCGGGCUAGAGUGCGGAAGAGGCGAGUGGAAUUCCUGGUGUAGCGGUGAAAUGCGCAGAUAUCAGGAGGAACACCUAUUGCGAAGGCAGCUCGCUGGGACGUAACUGACGCUGGAGACGCGAAAGCGUGGGGAGCAAACAGG
rnacentral:rRNA from 1 species